CGAGGCGUAGCGCAGCUGGUAGCGCGCAUGGUUCGGGACCAUGAGGCCGCGAGUUCGAAUCUCGCCGCUUCGACCA
rnacentral:tRNA from 1 species